GUGGAUUAGAUACCCUGGUAGUCCACGCUGUAAACGAUGAUCACUAGGUGUAGCGGGUACUCAUUCCUGCUGUGCCGCAGCUAACGCGUUAAGUGAUCCGCCUGGGGAUUACGGUCGCAAGACUAAAACUCAAAGGAAUUGACGGGGGCCCGCACAAGCGGUGGAGUAUGUGGUUUAAUUCGACGCAACGCGAAGAACCUUACCUGGGCUUGACAUCCCCGGAUGUACGUAGAAAUACGGAGUUCCCCGUCGGGGGACCGGGAGACAGGUGCUGCACGGUUGUCGUCAACU
rnacentral:rRNA from 1 species